rnacentral:rRNA from 1 species
CAGUCGUACCGGCGGAUAAUCAGCCUUUCGGGUGCGAUUCUGUGGAGUUUGAGGGGCUUAACACCUUCAUGCUUUGCAUAUUCGUGCUCUUGGGUGUACUUGCUCGUAUGGUUGGUUAACACCAAUUUUGGUGGUCAUAAAAUGACUGGAGGAAUGUAGCUUCGAUCUCGUAUCGAAGUGUUAUAGACUCUGGUAGAUGCGACGAUUGGGAUUGGAGGAUUGCAACGGAUACCCUUCGGGGCUACUCGUCUGAUCUCUGAAGGUUGCUCCGGUGCCG